AUACCAUGGUGUGGGUAUUUCCUAAGCAAUGACUUGAAGCGUUCCCAUGCUUUGUAUAAUGUUUCACCUUCAAGUUGCUUAAAAUUAGCAAUGUCAUGCCUUAAUUG
rfam:Gossypium hirsutum cultivar TM-1 chromosome 9, whole genome shotgun sequence